rnacentral:SRP_RNA from 1 species
GCUGGGCGUGGAGGCGCGCCCCUGUAAUCCCAGCUCCUCGGAGGCUGAGGCAGAAGAAUCGCUUGAACCCGGGAGGCGGAGGUUGCAGCGAGCCGAGAUCGCGCCAUUGCACUCCAGCCUGGGUGACAGAGCGAGACUCCGUCUCAA